GACGAACGCUGGCGGCGCGCCUAACACAUGCAAGUCGAGCGAGAACCGGGCCUUCGGGCCCGGGGACAGCGGCGAACGGGUGAGUAACACGUGGGCAACCUGCCCUCGGCACUGGGAUAGCCCGGGGAAACCCGGAUUAAUACCGGAUAGCCUCCGGAGCCUUCGGGCGCCGGAAGAAAGGUGGCUUCGGCAUCCGGCCGAGGAGGGGCCCGCGGCGGAUUAGCUUGUUGGUGGGGUAAUGGCCCACCAAGGCGACGAUCCGUAGCUGGUCUGAGAGGACGAUCAGCCACACUGGGACUGAGACACGGCCCAGACUCCUACGGGAGGCAGCAGUGGGGAAUCUUGCGCAAUGGGCGAAAGCCUGACGCAGCGACGCCGCGUGCGGGAAGAAGGCCUCCGGGUUGUAAACCGCUUUCAGGAGGGACGAAGCCACUCGGGUGAACAGCCCAGAGGGUGACGGUACCUCCAGAAGAAGCCCCGGCUAACUACGUGCCAGCAGCCGCCGUAAGAC
rnacentral:rRNA from 1 species